GUGCACACCACUGCCCCGCUAUGAAGGGGUUUAAAAC
rnacentral:other from 1 species